UGCUGGUUGAGAAAAAAUGAAGGCUGUGUGUAUGGGUGUGUAUACAUAAUUUAUAUGUACACAUACAUAAAGAAAUAUAUUUAUCAUAUUGUUUGUGUGUGUGUGUUUGUGUGUGUGUGUGUCCAUAGAAGAAAUGGCUAAAUUGCCCUGGUUAAGAGCAGAUAAGAGCAGAGCAGCUGGGACCACACAGACAGACCUGUGUGAUACCUGUACUUACCACCAGUGUGAUCACAGGUAA
rnacentral:sRNA from 1 species